GGGGGAGGAGGAGUCACGAGGAGGGUGGCCCGCCGGCCGAGCCCUCUGCCCUCCGCCCUAGCGAGCACCUCGGUCCUGCCCUGCCACGCGCCUUGCUCCUCGCCGCUCCCGUGCCUUUUUGGGAGCUGUGGAGGCCAUCGCAACGGGAGAUGCUCUCUGGGCAUUUGAGGGAAGAACUGAUUGUGCUCCUACAAUGGUACUCGCCCAACCAGUAUUUACUGAUGCCCGCGAUGCCCUGGGGGGACAAGGGAUACCAAACUGGACCGGACUCGGACCCUGCCUGCCCUCAAGUUGCUGGGAGAUUUAAUAGAGAUCGGAUCUCUGCAGUCCACUCUAUAGCACCUCUAGCUGAUCGAUAAUGCAGCAUACACUUCAGCGGUCCAAGGGAAGAGAGCUCACUACCUCAAAAGGCAGCUACGUCCACUGAGAAAUGAUGAAGAGGACCUCCAGAGGCCAGGCGGACUCUGAACUCUUGAAUAGCACUGACUGGUACAGCAGUUUAAACAGGUCAGUUCCCUCUUAAAAGUGUGAUUAUCCAACCCACUAGUUGCCAUUCUGUCCAAAAGGAUGGUACAAGAGACAGUAACCUGACUUACAUAAACGCUAAUAGUAGUCCCAUAGUAGAAAAGCAAAUGAGGGUUGGCUGCCAGAAAAAAAUUCUACUUGUCUGUAUUCCACAAAGGGACUGUCAUACCAACUGCUUAAAGAAGCCAAGUCUCCCUCUCUUUCAGAAUCCCCAUGGGGCCAAGUUUUAUUGUUCUUAUGGUUCUUAGCACUUAUUACCCACAUUGUAAUUGCUUAUGUACAUGUCUUAUAACUAACUUCAAGUCAUUCAUCUCUGUAACACCCAGCACUCAGCCUACUGCUGAGCAUGUAGGAGGCACUCAAAUUGGUAAAAGAUAAACUGAUUCAAGUGAAUGUUCUUCCAACAGUAUCUGGCCCCCCUCCAAAAACAAACUUGUGACUAGAAGAGACACAGACCAUUGCCACAUUCUUGCCAACAUGACUGAUUAAAAUGCCCUUACAGUUAGCUUGGUCACAGUUUCCAGCAAGUGCUAAGGUUUUUGCUAGUUAAAUCAGCUUUCAAUGGAGCAUUCUGUUUUCUACCUGUGUUUUGACCGAAGAGUAAAGACAGGUUCUCUAACAAUAGGGUUAGAAUACACGAAAUAGGAUGACUCUUAAUAAUGUCAAGUCAGUCAGUAAGGAAAAUAAGUGACCAACAAAAUGAAACAUCUGACUGUAGGUCUUCCAAAAGAAAGGAAAA